rnacentral:ribozyme from 1 species
AGGGAGUAUAGCUCCCUGCUCUAAUGCAGCUACUAUACAGUAACGGUCGCAAGCCCGUAUAAAUGCAGAGUGGAGU